rnacentral:rRNA from 1 species
AUUGAACGCUGGCGGCAGGCCUAACACAUGCUAGUCGAGCGCGCGGCGGACGGGUGAGUAAUGUAUGGGGACUGCCCGAUAGAGGGGGCUAACUACUGGAAACGGUAGCUAAUACCGCAUACUAUCGGAUAACCCAUAUGUGAUUAGCUAGUAGGUGAGGUAAUGGCUCACCUAGGCGACGAUCCCUAGCUGGUCUGAGAGGAUGAGCAGCCAUACAUGGACUGAGGCACGGCGCAGACUCCUACGGAGGCAGCAGUGGGGAAUAUUGCACAAUGGGCGCAAGCCUGAUGCAGCCAUGCCGCGUGUAUGAAGAAGGCCGUAGAGUUGUAAAGUACGUUCAGUCGGGAGGCGUUACCGACAGAAGAAGCACCGGCUAACUCCGUGCCAGCAGCCCCGGUAAUAC